CUGGCGUACAUUGGAUACCUGAUGCUCUUCAAUUACAUCGUGCUGGUGAAGAUGGAGCGCUGGCCUUCCACUCAGGAAUGGAUCGUCAUCUCCUACAUCUUCACUCUGGGAAUAGAGAAGAUGAGAGAGAUCCUGAUGUCAGAGCCGGGCAAGCUGCUGCAGAAAGUCAAAGUGUGGCUGCAGGAGUACUGGAACGUCACGGACCUCAUCGCCAUCCUCCUCUUCUCGGUGGGAAUGAUCCUUCGUCUUCAAGACCAGCCCUUCAGGAGUGACGGGAGGGUCAUCUACUGUGUGAACAUCAUUUAUUGGUAUAUCCGUUUACUAGACAUCUUCGGCGUGAACAAGUAUCUGGGCCCAUACGUAAUGAUGAUUGGGAAAAUGAUGAUAGACAUGAUGUACUUCGUCAUCAUUAUGCUGGUGGUGCUGAUGAGCUUUGGGGUCGCCAGGCAAGCCAUUCUCUUUCCCAAUGAGGAGCCAUCUUGGAAACUGGCCAAGAAUAUCUUCUACAUGCCUUAUUGGAUGAUUUAUGGGGAAGUGUUUGCUGACCAGAUAGACCGUAAGCAAGUUUAUGAUUCUCAUACACCAAAGUCAGGUAUUUUAACUUCGAUUGAGUCACGCCUUUUCCAAGUCCAUUUGUUUGUCCUCAAUAAAUGGCUCAAGAUAG
rnacentral:lncRNA from 1 species